GUAUUUGCUUCGGCAGCACAAGUACUAAAAUUGGAACCAUGCAGAGAAGAUUAGCAUGGCCCCUGUGUAUGGAUGACCCACAAAUUUGGGAAGCAUUCUAUAUUUAA
ensembl:snRNA U6 U6 spliceosomal RNA